rnacentral:rRNA from 1 species
ACGCUCGACACCUACGGGAGGCAGCAGUGGGGAAUAUUGCACAAUGGGGGAAACCCUGAUGCAGCAACGCCGCGUGAAGGAAGACGGUUUUCGGAUUGUAAACUUCUGUUCUUAGUGAAGAUAGUGACGGUAAGCUAAGGAGCAAGCCACGGCUAACUACGUGGCAGCAGCCGCGGUAAUCUGAGCGGGCUGGCAAGGC